ACGGGCCCCGCACAAGCAGCGGAGCGUGUGGUUUAAUUCGAUGCUACACGAAGACCUUACAGGGUUUGACAUGCUAGUGGUAGGAAACCGAAAGGUGACCGACCCUUCGGGGAGCUAGCACAGGUGCUGCAUGGCUGUCGUCAGCUCGUGUCGUGAGAUGUUCGGUUAAGUCCGCUAACGAGCGCAACCCUCGCUGUGUGUUAUAUGUGUCACAUGGGACUGCCGGCCUUAAGCCGGAGGAAGGUGGGGAUGAUGUCAAGUCAGCAUGGCCUUUAUGUCCUGGGCUACACACACGCUACAAUGGUCAGCACAAUGGGUCGCUAAGCCGCAAGGUGGAGCCAAUCCUCAAAGUUGGCCUCAGUUCAGAUUGUAGGCUGCAACUCGCCUGCAUGAAGAUGGAGUUGCUAGUAAACGCAGGUCAGCUAUACUGCGUUGAAUACGUUCCCGGGGCUU
rnacentral:rRNA from 1 species